rnacentral:rRNA from 1 species
UACGGGGGGGGCAAGCGUUGUUCGGAAUUACUGGGCGUAAAGGGUUCGUAGGUGGCCAACUAAGUCAGACGUGAAAUCCCUCAGCUUAACUGGGGAACUGCGUCUGAUACUGGUUGGCUUGAGUGCAGGAGAGGAAUGCGGAAUUCCAGGUGUAGCGGUGAAAUGCGUAGAUAUGUGUCGGAACACCAAUGGCGAAAGCAGUCUUCUGGACGGAUACUGACGCUGAGAUACGAAAGCCAAGGUAGCAAACAGG